UCUCCUCCAUCUGGGCUCGGCUUUGGCAGAAGGUUAUUUAUACUGCAGUAGGGUUCACUGCGUGCUCAGCCCUGCCUCUGCCAGAGCCGGGAAAUCCCUGCCCUGGAAAGCAGACGGCUGCUCCUGUCUGCUGCGUGGUCCUAAAGCAGGACCGUGGGCUGACGCCCCGUGGCCAAGAGUGCUCCCAGCAUGCAGGAGGAGGAUGCUAGUUAUCCUGUUUGGGGUAUAUAGGAGCUCCGCAGGCAGAGGAUGAGGAGGGCGAGCCUUCGUGCUGGGCACCAUGCAGGCUUCCUCUGUGUCCCAAUGUGCAUAAAACCCUGGGAGUCCUCCAAGCUUGGGCAGGGGCCAGCCCAUGCCAUCCAUCAUCGCGGCGUCAGAAGAACAGAGCUGCGUCAAGCUGAAGUGAUGUUAGGGGGAAAAAAUGCUCCGUAAGUUGUUUUUCAUUCUGUUAAUAGGAAACAGACAGCGUGGCUUCAAUCUGGCUGCAGAGCCCUGGAGCUCUGUUUGGGAUCGGCUCCUGCUGUCUGGGGCUCCAGAGGUGCCGGUGCCUGGUUUGUCCCUCCUGUGGAUCUGCGAUGGAUGAAAUAUCAAACCUGUGCUGAAGGCAAAUGUCAGGCUGCAAAAUGACUUGCUGCAGCUUUGGGUUCUCAGCCCUUCUGCCUUCCAGAGCAACAUCCGAAGAGGUGUCCUCGAGGCAGGACACCAACACGUGCCACGUGGUGCCACUUCAAUGGGGAAACACUGGGAGGGUGGGCUUCUACCUGAGCCUGUCCCCACCAGCAGAGCCGCUUUUCCUUUCCAGCUGCCCAAAAAGGAGAUACCCCAUCCCCUAGCAGCCCCACCACUGGGAUGCACUCAGGGAGCAGAGCCACAGCCCCAGGUUUGGGGUCAGCCCCGUGCCACACUGCCUUUUCUGGGGGGGCAGCUCUGGGCGCUGCAGCCCCCGGUGAUUGGGUGCUAUUUUGCUCGGUGCAGGAGCAGCUGUUGCUGUACAUUACUGCACACUGCCUGUACCGGACCGCAGGCUGGAGGCGAGGCGGCUGUGCUCAGCCCGAGUGGCUGCGUGCUUGGGGCACUGGCUUUGGAGAUGAUCCACUAUGAACCCUGGGGACCACGCUUACCAUCUCCACGCUCCCGUUGCCUCGCCAUGGAGAAGACUUCACGAGCUUGGGGAGGGACCCCCAAAAUCCGAUUCUGGGAAUAGAUGCUCUGCUUCUCGGGAGCACAGGCCGGCUUGCCUUGACUGAGG